GGGCCCGCACAAGCGGUGGAGUAUGUGGUUUAAUUCGAUGCAACGCGAAGAACCUUACCAGGGUUUGACAUCCUGCGAAUUUCUGGGAAACCGGAAAGUGCCUUCGGGAGCGCAGUGACAGGUGGUGCAUGGCUGUCGUCAGCUCGUGUCGUGAGAUGUUGGGUUAAGUCCCGCAACGAGCGCAACCCACGUCUUUAGUUGCCAGCAUGUCGUGAUGGGGACUCUAACGGGACUGCCGGUGCAAACCGUGAGGAAGGUGGGGAUGACGUCAAAUCAUCACGGCCCUUACGUCCUGGGCCACACACGUGCUACAAUGGCAGGUACAGAGAGCAGCCACGUCGCAAGGCGGAGCGAAUCUAUAAAACCUGUCACAGUUCGGAUCGGGGUCUGCAACUCGACCCCGUGAAGCUGGAAUCGCUAGUAAUCG
rnacentral:rRNA from 1 species